rnacentral:lncRNA from 1 species
AAGCAAUCCACCUGCCUUGGCCUCCCAAAGUGCUGGGAUUACAGGCAUGAGCCACUGCGCCUGGCCUCAAACAUUCUCUUCUGAUACGCAACUGCAGACCUUAAGCCAUUUCAGCAGCUUAUAGAGUCUGCAAACAAGCUGUCUUUGUGUCCUGCACCUUUUGCUAUAAAGAACGAAAUUCCACCUCAUUUUAGUACUAGAACCCUAGCCCAAAGUGAAAGUGGGGUCUGCUUUACACUACGUGUGUGAAAGUGGGGCGUGCAUUACACUACGUGUGCCUGUGUGCAUACACUCCCCUCCCUUCAUAAAUAUGGAUAGCCUUUCCCGCAAACCUGCUGAAUAUGUAUGACUCUAUUGCGUCAUAUGGGCUCCAUGAGGCACAAAACCCAACCUGCCCUUUUCCUCUCCCAAGAGAGAGCACGUCCAGAACACGCCAGAGACUGUCUCUUCCUGGUUUGCAAACUCAUACCACUAGUAAAGCUCCUUUCUGCUAUUUAGCUAUCCUGGUGGUCUUUUGGGCAACAUGCUUAUCUGGGAAGAGCUGUCUUGUAAUCUCUGUGUCUGCAUCAGACUCUGCCAGCCCUAGAUUGGGAGCUCUGAGAUGACAUAGGCUGCGUCCCACCCCAGCAGCAGCAUGCAAGGUCAAAAGGCUGUGGCAGGAGGCCAGGCAGAUCACAGCGUCCAUGCCUAGAUGCUCCCUGACCCCCAGGAACCAGAAGUGCUGUCUCCUGAAGGCUCUGGAAACCCGGAAUCAGCCUACGAGGCACCAGGGCCACCUUGGAGGGUGGAAAUGAGGACCUCAGGCCCCAGAGGGCAUGCAGGCGAGGUGAAGUUCAGGAGAGGGGAAAGAACAUGGGCUGUGUGGCCUUGGACCAAUUGCUUGCCCUCUCUGGGCCUUCUUAUUGGUGACAGACAGACUGGUGACUUUCUGAGAGGAUCUAUGCAACCUCAGGCUCCUGCACCUGGGUUACAGGGUCUUCUGGAGGGGAAGAGAUGAGCAGCAAGGACAAUAGCAGUGCUCCCUUCCCGGGUCAGUUGCAAGGAUUAAGGAUGAUGUCUGCAAAGUGCUUAGUCAGAGCCGGCAUACGGUAAGUGCUCAAUAAAUGCUGGCUCCCAUUAUUAGUAUCCCUUCCCUCCACGCCCUCAACACAUCCCUUUAUCAUGAUGGAAUAACCAAUUGCCUGGUAACAACAUGUUCACACUUCCACGCUCCCCAUCAACCAUGCUCACCUAUAAGGCAGGCUGCGACCAGCUCCUCUUCAUCUAUUCAUUGCCUGGCCCAUGCUAGGGGCCCAAGAAAUGUCUGCUGCAUCAACGAGUGAUUUUGGGAAAGGUGCUGAGCCCUUCUGUCCCAUGAAGUUCUUGCGAGACAGUGUCUCACCAGCAACCUGGAUCGUGAGAACCACAGCGGGUGGGCCAGAUCUAGAUGGAGAGUGUCCAUUGGGCAGAGCUGCUUCUGUGAAAGGAAAGGAAGUUUUUCAAGAAACCAUGAGGGGGGCCCAAGAAUCCAAGUUUCUAACUCUGGGAUCGGUUUUCUGUCUUUUACCUCGGUUUGCCUCUCCCUAGCUGUGUGGUUUAUGGCAAGUCACUCUGUGCCUCUGUCUCCACGUGUUCAAGGAGGCAGCCGGUCCAAGGGGCCUUCAUAGAAGGGGCUGCCGAGAUGUGAGCCCUGCAUUGGGGGGAUGCCCCACAGAGGUGCUGUCCCCCAUCCCCUUUCCAGGUAUGAGUGUCCCCCAGCUCUGAGUGAAUCAGUAGGAGGUGCUGGACCUGGGCUGAUUCUCACAGUGGGACCUCAACUCUAGCCCCGGGUUGGCUGACAUUAGAGGACUUUGGGUCGUUGUUCUGGCAGCUGCAAGGAAGAGCCAAUGUCAGGGAGGGAAACCCCACAUUCCCUGGCACUAUCCAAACAAAGGUUUGGUUAAAACAAAGAAUUCUCAUGGAGAAGAGUCUGAAGGACCCAAAACACAUAUUUCUGUAGACAUCCCAUCCCAAAAUAAACCCAUGGAUCAAGCCAGACCCAAAUACAAGGAUGCUGUGAACCACAUGGUUGAAUAUUCCACACUUUCCCCAUCCAUUAAACCCCACCCAGGGUGGGAAGGGGAUGGAUUUCCCUCAGUUCUCAGGGCCUAGAAGAGCAGGGCUUUUUUCCCUCAACUGGUUGAGUUUUACUUUGUGAGCACCAUGAUUCCUAAAACCAGUUAUAUUUUCUUUUUCUCUUGGGCCGCCAGGGAACUCACAGCGAAAUCUACCAACCAAAGAGGAUGUCCAUACCUGUCUUUUUCUUUCUUCCUUCAUUUUUUGACUUAAUUUCCUCACUUGAAAAAAAAAAAUAAAACACCUUAUUCAGGGUAUACUUUAUGGGCAGUCUUAAUUUUUUUUAUUAGGAUGUGGGAUGUAAAUCCAUAAAAGAAGUAGAAGUGCUGAGCCUUCCUGUGGAGUGGGUGCUGGAGGGGAAAAGGUGGAGUUAGGGGAGGGAAGGGGAGGGCAGGAAGGUUGGUGAUGGGCAGAGAUUCACAGAGACUCCCAGGUCAGGGAGCAAUCCCCCAGUCAGGGCAGCAGGAAUGCCCAGAGGAAUUCUGAUCGGGACAGACGUCGGGCACUGAAUGAAGAGAGGUCCCUCAGGGGCCUGGUCUCAGGGGCCUUGAAUUCCACGCAAAGCGUGUCUUGAGCAUCAACUAUAUGCCAGGCACCUUUUACAUAUAUUAUUUCUUACUUCUAAAUUAUUCCAGAUUUUAAGCCGGGUGCAGUGGCUCACGCCUGUAAUCUCAGCAUUUUGGGAGGCCAAGGCAGAUGGAUAACCUGAGGUCAGGAGUUCGAGACCAGCCUGGCUAACACGGUGAAACCCCGUCUCUACUAAAAAUACAAAAAUUGCCUGGGUGUGGUGGUGCAUGCCUGUAAUCCUAGCUACAUGGAAGGCUGAGGCAGGAGGAUUGCUUGAACCUGAGUGGCAGAGGUUGCAAUGAGCUGAGAUUGUGCCACCGAGCUCCAGCCUGGACUACAAAGUGAGACUCCAUCUCAAAAUAAUAAAUAAAUAAAUAAAUAAAUCUAUCAAUCCAGAUUUUACCAAUUAGGAGACUGAGCCUCAGAGAAGUUAAAUCACUUGUCCAGAGCCCUGAAAUUGGAGAAGCAGCUGCGCUCAGACUGGAACCCUAGAUGGUAGGGCCCCUUAGUCCUCCUUUAUCUUGGGGGGAUCCAGGGAAGGCUUUUCAGCAGGGGAAUGAUGCAAUUGGAUACACAUGUCAGGGGGAACAUGACUGCUUGUGGCAAGGAACGCAGUAAGCCUGGG